UGCAGUCGAGCGAAUGGAUUAAGAGCUUGCUCUUAUGAAGUUAGCGGCGGACGGGUGAGUAACACGUGGGUAACCUGCCCAUAAGACUGGGAUAACUCCGGGAAACCGGGGCUAAUACCGGAUAACAUUUUGAACUGCAUGGUUCGAAAUUGAAAGGCGGCUUCGGCUGUCACUUAUGGAUGGACCCGCGUCGCAUUAGCUAGUUGGUGAGGUAACGGCUCACCAAGGCAACGAUGCGUAGCCGACCUGAGAGGGUGAUCGGCCACACUGGGACUGAGACACGGCCCAGACUCCUACGGGAGGCAGCAGUAGGGAAUCUUCCGCAAUGGACGAAAGUCUGACGGAGCAACGCCGCGUGAGUGAUGAAGGCUUUCGGGUCGUAAAACUCUGUUGUUAGGGAAGAACAAGUGCUAGUUGAAUAAGCUGGCACCUUGACGGUACCUAACCAGAAAGCCACGGCUAACUACGUGCCAGCACGACCGCGGUAAUACGUAGGUGGCAAGCGUUAUCCGGAAUUAUUGGGCGUAAAGCGCGCGCAGGUGGUUUCUUAAGUCUGAUGUGAAAGCCCCACGGCUCACCGUGGCAGGGUCAUUGGAAACUGGGAGACUUUGAUGCAGAAAGAGGAAAGUGGAAUCCCAUGUGUAAGCG
rnacentral:rRNA from 1 species